GGGACUUUAACAUGUGUUGUGACGUUACUCAGUAUCACAACGUAUCUAGACACGUUUCUACAAGUUAUUUGCUUGACUUUGGAUGAUAUUAAACGUACAGAGAAUUCAUGGCAACGAAAACAGAAACUUAUACUCGCCUACAGACAGCAAAUCUAUAUGUUCUCUUAUAAGGUAACUUAUAUAUCAUCUACUUUUUAUCUCUUGUAGGAUAUGGGUGAUUGUAAGUGAAAUGUUCAAAUGGUCUCUGUUGUUACACACAUUCAUAGCUGGAGUUACACUGGCUUUUUGUGUAAUAACAACGUUAAUUAAAUUUGAUGUUAAUACAUUUGGUAUUUCUAUUUGUUACCUUUUUGGGACUCUUAUUACUGGUGCGAUUGGUGAAAAAGUUGUUAAAUUUGGUGAAGAUUUACGACAUACGACUUUUUAUGCAUGUCCAUGGGAUGGGGACGUUGUAACUGUCAGAUUUCUUAUGAUAAUGAAUAUUAAUUCCACAAAUAGAUUUGUAUUGCCAAUGGGUAACUACUAUAGUGUCUUUUCAAAUGAAUUUGUACUUUCUGUGUUUAAGUUUACUUAUUCUGUUGUAAUGUUGUAUAUCAAUAGUCGAUAGAAUACUUAUACAAAAAA